UGGGGAAUCUUGGACAAUGGGGGCAACCCUGAUCCAGCCAUGCCGCGUGAGUGAUGAAGGCCUUAGGGUCGUAAAGCUCUUUCGCCUGUGAAGAUAAUGACGGUAGCAGGUAAAGAAACCCCGGCUAACUCCGUGCCAGCAGCCGCGGUAAUACGGAGGGGGUUAGCGUUGUUCGGAAUUACUGGGCGUAAAGCGCACGUAGGCGGACCAGAAAGUUGGGGGUGAAAUCCCGGGGGCUCAACCCCGGAACUGCCUCCAAAACUAUUGGUCUAGAGUUCGAGAGAGGUGAGUGGAAUUCCAAGUGUAGAGGUGAAAUUCGUAGAUAUUUGGAGGAACACCAGUGGCGAAGGCGGCUCACUGGCUCGAUACUGACGCUGAGGUGCGAAAGUGUGGGGAGCAAACAGGAUUAGAUACCCUGGUAGUCCACACCGUAAAACGAUGAAUGCCAGUCGUCGGGGUAGCAUGCUAUUCGGUGACACACCUAACGGAUUAAGCAUUCCGGCCUGGGGAGU
rnacentral:rRNA from 1 species